rnacentral:rRNA from 1 species
CCAGACUCCUACGGGAGGCAGCAGUGAGGAAUAUUGGUCAAUGGGCGAGAGCCUGAACCAGCCACGUCGCGUGAAGGAAGACGGUUCUAUGGAUUGUAAACUUCUUUUAUAGGGGAUUAAAGUUAUCCACGCGUGGAUAUUUGCAAGUACCCUAUGAAUAAGCAUCGGCUAACUCCGUGCCAGCAGCCGCGGUAAUACGGAGGAUGCGAGCGUUAUCCGGAUUUAUUGGGUUUAAAGGGUGCGUAGGUGGCCUGAUAAGUCGGGGGUGAAAAGCUGUGGCUCAACCACAGUCUUGCCUUCGAAACUGUUUGGCUUGAGUAUAGAUGAAGUAGGCGGAAUUUGUGGUGUAGCGGUGAAAUGCAUAGAUAUCACGAGGAACUCCGAUUGCGAAGGCAGCUUACUAAGUUAUGACUGACACUGAAGCACGAAAGCGUGGGUAUCAAACAGGAUUAGAUACCCUGGUAGUCCACGCAGUAAACGAUGAUAACUGGGCGUAUGCGAUAUACAGUAUGCUCCUGAGCGAAAGCGUUAAGUUAUCCACCUGGGGAGUACGCCGGCAACGGUGAAACUCAAAGGAAUUGACGGGGGCCCGCACAAG